UCUUCUGGAUGAGCAAAUAAAGUGGCUUCUUAAGAUGGAAUCUGCUCCUGGUGAAGAUGCUGUGAA
rnacentral:pre_miRNA from 4 species